rnacentral:rRNA from 1 species
GUGAUCACUGUAACGCCCUGAGUGUUGCGGAUGUUUCGCAGAAGUUGACCGAACUUGAUUAUUUAGAGGAAGUAAAAGUCGUAACAAGGUUUCCGUAGGUGAACCUGCGGAAGGAUCACUAAAGUUCUCCUUUCAAGUUAUAAACAAAAACACAAUAUAUAAAAUACUUAUAUUGUAAAAUUAUGGCAAAUGCCAAAAAGAAACAAAAUAACAAUAAUAAAAAUGUUUAUUAUUGUAUCGCCUCCUAGGCAAAAAAGUAUAGUAUAAAGUGUUUGUGUGUGUUACACAUUACACAAAAAUUGACUUAUUUAUAUAAAAUUUGUAAAAACUGAAAUUGUGUGGACGUUAUACAAAAUUAAUUUGUAUAGAAAAUGUCUAAAAAUUUGAAAUACAUAAAAUUAUAGUUGUACUUGUAUAAAAUUGAAAAGUAAUUUUUUAUAUAAGUCAAUCAUUGUUCGUUUUUUAAGAACUUGAGACAUUCGCAACAAAAAUUUUAUGUUUUAGUUAUAAAAGAGAAGAAUAAUAAGCAAAAAUUAUUGAAGGAAUUGAUAUAUGCCAAUUUGAAACUUUUUGGUGUAUUUUUGAUUUCUUUC